GUAGGGAAUAUUGCGCAAUGGGGGAAACCCUGACGCAGCGACGCCGCGUGGGUGAUGAAGGCCUUCGGGUCGUAAAGCCCUGUCAAGAGAGACGAAAAACAGCUCCAAUAACAAGUGAGUUGCUUGACGGUACCUCUGGAGGAAGCACCGGCUAACUACGUGCCAGCAGCCGCGGUAAUACGUAGGGUGCAAGCGUUGUUCGGAAUUAUUGGGCGUAAAGCGCGUGUAGGUGGUUAGGAAAGUUGGAUGUGAAAGCCCUGGGCUCAACUCAGGAAGUGCAUCCAAAACUCCCUAGCUAGAGGGCGUGAGAGGGAGGUGGAAUUCCUAGUGUAGAGGUGAAAUUCGUAGAUAUUAGGAGGAAUACCGGUGGCGAAGGCGGCCUCCUGGAACGUUCCUGACACUGAGACGCGAAAGCGUGGGGAGCAAACAGGAUUAGAUACCCCGGUAGUCC
rnacentral:rRNA from 1 species